rnacentral:rRNA from 1 species
AACGCUAGCGGCAGGCCUAACACAUGCAAGUCGAGGGGUAACAGGGAGCUUGCUCCGCUGACGACCGGCGCACGGGUGCGCAACGCGUAUGCAAUCUACCUCUUACUAAGGGAUAGCCCAGAGAAAUUUGGAUUAAUAUCUUAUGUGAUAUUAGACUGGCAUCGGUUUAAUAUUAAAGGUUACGGUAAGAGAUGAGCAUGCGUCUCAUUAGUUAGUUGGUAAGGUAACGGCUUACCAAGACUUCGAUGAGUAGGGGUCCUGAGAGGGAGAUCCCCCACACUGGUACUGAGACACGGACCAGACUCCUACGGGAGGCAGCAGUGAGGAAUAUUGGACAAUGGACGGAAGUCUGAUCCAGCCAUGCCGCGUGUAGGAAGACUGCCCUAUGGGUUGUAAACUACUUUUAUACAGGAAGAAUAAGAUCUACGUGUAGAUUGAUGACGGUACUGUAAGAAUAAGGACCGGCUAACUCCGUGCCAGCAGCCGCGGUAAUACGGAGGGUCCGAGCGUUAUCCGGAAUUAUUGGGUUUAAAGGGUCCGUAGGCGGGCUGUUAAGUCAGAGGUGAAAUGCUGCGGCUCAACCGUAUGCACUGCCUUUGAUACUGGCGGUCUUGAGUUAUAGUGAAGUGGCUAGAAUAAGUAGUGUAGCGGUGAAAUGCAUAGAUAUUACUUAGAAUACCGAUUGCGAAGGCAGGUCACUAACUAUACACUGACGCUGAUGGACGAAAGCGUGGGUAGCGAACAGGAUUAGAUACCCUGGUAGUCCACGCCGUAAACGAUGGAUACUAGCUGUUCGGUUUUCGGACUGAGCGGCCAAGCGAAAGUGAUAAGUAUCCCACCUGGGGAGUACGUUCGCAAGAAUG